GACGAACGCUGGCGGCGUGCUUAACACAUGCAAGUCGAACGGUAAGGCCCUUCGGGGUACACGAGUGGCGAACGGGUGAGUAACACGUGGGUGAUCUGCCCUGCACUUCGGGAUACGCCUGGGAAACUGGGUCUAAUACCGGAUAGGACCACUGCCUGCAUGGGUGGGGGUGGACAGCUUUUGCGGUGUGGGAUGGGCCCGCGGCCUAUCAGCUUGUUGGUGGGGUGAUGGCCUACCAAGGCGACGACGGGUAGCCGGCCUGAGAGGGUGACCGGCCACACUGGGACUGAGAUACGGCCCAGACUCCUACGGGAGGCAGCAGUGGGGAAUAUUGCACAAUGGGCGCAAGCCUGAUGCAGCGACGCCGCGUGAGGGAUGACGGCCUUCGGGUUGUAAACCUCUUUCAGCACCGACGAAGCGCAAGUGACGGUAGGUGCAGAAGAAGGACCGGCCAACUACGUGCCAGCAGCCGCAGUAA
rnacentral:rRNA from 1 species